GCAGCUGUGGAGGAGCCUGGCCGUGGCCGUCCUGGCCGGGACCGUCCUGGGGCUCCGCGACGCGGAGGAAUGAAGGAAUGGUGUCUGAAUCCCCAGAGUUGCAGCCUCCCUGAAAAUGAGGUCAGAGGCAAAAUAUUUGAUGAUUAUGGCUGGGAAAUGUGGAAGUGAUUUAAAGAAAAUAAACUCAAGCUGCUGUGGGCUAGCGGGCGAAAAGGACAGAAUAUGCAUUCUGGAGGUCGGAGGUCCCUAGUGGGCUGCCGGCUGCCCCUUUUUUAUAGAUUAACUGCAGAUGGUGAAUUCGGCUUUGUACCUGUAACAAAACAGAAAUAAAGGCUUUGGGUAAAAGGUA